rnacentral:sRNA from 1 species
CAGCCUUAACUCCUCCACGCUGAGCGGCAGCCAGAUGAGCCUGUCAGGCGAGGCGGAGGCGGUGCAGGUCCGCGGCUCCGUGCACUUCGCGCUGCACUACGAGCCGGGCGCCGCCGAGCUGCGCGUGCACGUGAUCCAGUGCCAGGGCCUGGCCGCCGCCCGGCGCCGCCGCUCGGACCCGUGAGUGCCCAGCCAGCCAAGCGGGGAGCGGCAGUCACAGCCCAGCCCACCAUUCACAGGGUCUCGGCCUCCUCGUCCUCAUCUUCAAAAUGGGAACAACAGCGUUAUUGGGAGGCGUGGGAUUAAGUGAGACAAUCCCUGUAAAGCGCUUAGCACGAGGGCUGGCACGUGUUCGGGGUGGUGGCUGGGGGAGCCCACAGGCAGGGGAGAAGGGUCUGGAAGGGCCCCUCUUCACCUCGGGUUCUCACCUCCCCAGCUACGUCAAAAGCUACCUCCUCCCGGAUAAGCAGAGCAAGCGCAAGACGGCGGUGAAGAAACGGAAUCUGAAUCCGGUUUUCAACGAGACUCUCCGGUACUCCGUCCCUCAGGCCGAGCUCCAGGGCCGCGUGCUGAGCCUGUCCGUGUGGCACCGCGAAAGCCUGGGUCGCAACAUCUUUCUGGGCGAAGUUGAAGUGCCCCUGGACACGUGGGACUGGGGCUCUGAGCCCACCUGGCUCCCCCUGCAGCCCCGGGUCCCACCCUCUCCCGACGACCUUCCGAGCCGCGGGUUACUCGCCCUGUCCAUCAAGUACGUCCCCGCCGGCUCCGAGGGCGCAGGACUGCCCCCGAGCGGGGAGCUGCACUUCUGGGUGAAAGAGGCUCGGGACCUCCUGCCGCUGCGGGCAGGAUCCCUGGACACUUACGUACAAUGGUGAGGAGUGCUGGCCCUCCGGGC